UGUGCGUCUGCGCGGGAAGUGGAACCUGGCUCUGGGGGAGAAGCGGCGUGAGAUCCGCGCGGGUUCUAGCUAGUUCUUUCUCGUCGCUGCUCGGCUCGCGGCCUGUGGGGUCGGCCCCGCCACCGUCGCCGCCAUGCCCAUGAAGGGCCGCUUCCCCAUCCGCCGCACCCUGCAAUAUCUGAGCCAGGGGAACGUGGUGUUCAAGGACUCCGUGAAGGUCAUGACAGUGAAUUACAACACGCACGGGGAGCUGGGCGAGGGCGCCAGGAAAUUUGUAUUUUUCAACAUACCUCAGAUUCAAUACAAAAACCCUUGGGUGCAGAUCAUGAUGUUUAAGAACAUGACGCCGUCACCCUUCCUGCGAUUCUACUUAGAUUCUGGGGAGCAGGUCCUGGUGGAUGUGGAGACCAAGAGCAAUAAGGAGAUCAUGGAGCACAUCAGAAAAAUCUUGGGGAAGAAUGAGCACUACCUGGCAGCACCAUCUAAACCUGAAUCUGCUGUGGUCCCAGUUACUCAGGAGGCUGAGGCAGGAGGAUCGCCUGAGCCCAGGAGGUUGAGGCUGCAGUGAGCCAUGACUGUACCACUGCACUCCAGCCUGGGUGAUGGAGUGAGGCCCUAUCUGGCUGCCAGUGAGUUCUGUCAUGCAUCAGACUUUGGACCUCAGAAUUUUUACCUGGAACAUGAGAGGUCAGAUGACAUAAUGAAUAUGUUCUAACUUCUGAAACUUUUGGAGCUUAUUUUUGCCCUUGAUAGCACGAGAUGAAAUGGACCUGCAGUCAAAGGCUUCAAAUGAGUUCAAGCAGCAAGAAUUCAGGUUAUGUGGACAUGAUCCUUAAAGAAAAAGCCACUUCAAAGUAAGGCCAAGAGGAUCUCAGAAACCAACCAAGAGAUGUUCAAAGCCCAAAACAGUCCCUGGAAUCAGCCAUCACCCAGCAAGGGGACUUAAAGAGCAGGACCAGGUUAGAAUCAGCACCUUUCCAAGCAAAAUCACAUUUUCUGCAAGGUUGUUUCAAUAGAGCCCCAACACUUCCUUAUCCAACCUGAGUCUAAGCGGCCUACUGGCUGCCACUGAAUGACCUGGGAAUGAGAGGAGGGGCUGGUGGAGACCUUUUCCCCAACACCAUGAACUGGGAUCUGAAAGCUGUCAUGCUUGUAUUCCCAGGAACUGCAACAUGGCCCUCAUGGUCACUCUCAAUCAAAACGACAGAAGGCAGGCAACAAUCUGUGUUAGAGGCACAGCUGAGCUUCAGGAUGCCUGCUACUAAAAUCCUCACAAGCAGAAAUGAAACAAACCUGCCCUAAUUCCAUUGUCUCAGCUGGUUUUUUUGUCUUAAUUUUGAAACUGAGAACACAUCAGGGUUAGAAAAGUAAAAAUUACUUUAAGCUGGCAAAAUUAAAUCCUUUCCAUCAUUUUAUAAUGGCCACCCCCACUACUCUCCAAAAUUUGCUGCCAAGGCAAGAAUUAUAAAAUGAUAUAAUUAAAUCCAAACAAGAAUUUAGAAGUUGGAGACACUGUUCCCACCUACCCUACUAACAAUGACUUGCAUAAAGUGCUGCUAACCCUUCAGGAUCAAGCAUCCUGUUCUGCCUUAAGCCUGCAGCAGCUUCCGUUCUGUCCAGUGUGGCACCACAGGGGCGUCUGUAGCUGGCCAGACUGCUCCCUGUGGAGCACAUGUGUGGCACCAACCUGAGCCGGAUCAGAGCACCUGUGAGGCAGGGGAGUGUCCAGGGAUCUUUUUGGAUAUCAUUGGAUUAACAAAUCAAGAGAAGCAAAUUUAACCCAACAGGGUGUAUUUUCUUAAUCUGGACUAUUUAAAAAGCAAAAGACAAAGCAAUUGACCUGGUCUUCCACAUGCCACUAUUCUCAAACAGGAAAAGCUUGCUAUAUAUUCACAUCCGUGGGAAUUUAUGGGUGUUUGAAGUUAGACAUAACUUCCUUUUAAGCACAUACUCUGUUCUUGCUGUAAACUCUGGUUGCUACAAUUUAUGAGGAGAAAGACUAUCACCCUGGAAAUUGAGGGUUGUUUUUAAGGAGCAAGCAGCCUGCAUUUAAAAUGCUCUGGGAUGGUCGGCUAGCACACACCUGGGGGAACCAAAGUGCACAGUGUGCUGGUAACAUUAACAGACUUGCCAACAGAGAUGCUGAGUCUACACACAUUUUUAAAAUAUCUGGUAUUUAAGGUCAACAGGAAGAAAUUGUCCUGAAACCUUCCAUUCAGCUUUACCAGGCCCUGACCACUCUGGCCAAGCGGCAGCAGGCUCCUGCUCAGCCCCAAUCCAGCCUCAGUUCUUUCUGAUGGAGCUGCAGAAACACAAGCCCUUUUCAAGGGGGCAUUUGGAGUGGAAAGCCCUGGGAAGGUAACCCUCACACUCCAAGGCCACACUCCUCCAUCUGGACAAACACGCAAGCACCCCCAAUUGUAUUGGAAGUACUGUCAAGAGCUCAAAAUGCCCACCUUGUGCUUUUUGGUCACAAGGCUCCACCUGCCACGAGCGGUGGAUGUGACUUGGGGAUGUUUUCACUUGGAGGAACUGUACAUCUCAUUUGGCAGUUAAUGUCUGACUAGUUGCCAUCCAAUUCAGAUAACCAGUCAUCAGAGGAGAACCCCAGGUUCUACAGGAGUCUGCAGAUGCCCAUCAGAAACCAGGACCAAGUAGUCAGGGAAGCUGACAAGUGUCUGCUCUAUGGCUAGAAGCUUCUGAACUGGGUCACCACCGACUGUGCUACCACACUCCCACUUACUGCAUGAUGCAAAUGAGCCACGUUUCCAUUCACAGAAUUCAGUUCAACUCCACAUGUGCACACAAUUAGGAAUGAUGCCUUCUUUUCUUAAACAUAAAUGAUUGUCUCCUGUACCCUAGUGAGUUUUCACAGAAAUCAUUAGCAUUUCGGCAAAAGACAUAUACAGUUUUCCAACUGCCCUGCCCACAGGCAAGAUGUUGCUAACAUUACACAUUGAUAAGUGCUUAGAAAGUGCUAAUAUUAUUACCCUGGUAAUUAGUAUCUAUAAUUCCAAGGACUUUUUAUAUAUAUAUAUAUAUACACACAUCCUAUUCUCUUAGGUUCUUUCAGUUUUCUUUAAUACUAGUCUCUGACAUUAUAAAACCUUUUUUUUGUUUUUUGCCCUUUGAGAAUUUCUAAAUACAAAUUGAGUUAAACGAUUGUUCCAAAAUCUGCUGCUUCAUCAAAAGGCAUUAAAACAUUUCUUAUGUCAGGAAAGGAUCCUACUAGUCUUUUAAUUGCUAUUGUCUGGGAUUAACAGAUAAGGAGAAACCAGACAGGAAAUGGCUAACAUAUAGAAAUAUUUGCACAUACCAAAAUACCACUACUUUUCUUUUCUUUGUAUGUGAACGGUCCCAGGAGGAUUCUGUUGCUCCUUGGCAGGUGUGUGGUGUGCGCUAUAGACUGGCUCCGGUGAUCUGGCCAUUAUACUCUGCUGUCUCCAUCUUGAGGAUGUAGGGGAUUAUGCUGUCUAUUGAAACAUUGCCAAUGAGACCAGUAAAAAAAAGUUCUUCUGUUAUGUUGGAGCUCAUCAACCUGAGUGCCGGCAGGCGAACGAGGAUCCUGGCCAAUCUAUAAAAGGGAGUGUCAUUAGAAAAGGAGACUGUUUGAUGCCCUUCAACCACAGCUCAGCAAAGGCUCCUGAGCAAAGGCUCAGCAAAGGCUGUCUCUAUUGCACAGAAUCAAACCAAACGGAUCCACCAUCCACCCACCUCUCUUCUGAUUUCAACAGUUCCUCUUAACAGAAAUUUAUCAUGAGAAAAAACCAAAUGAGUACAAAAUGUAUGUACAGAUAUGUUCCCUUCACUCUUGUUUAUUCCAACUCUCCUCUCCCCUACCAAAAAGAGAAAACCUGGAAAUUCAUCAACAGAGGACAGGUUAAAAUAAAAUAGGAGUCUUCAUAUGAUGAACUGCUAGAGACUCAUUUAAAAAACGAUAAUACAAAUCUGUAUUUACUGAUGAGGAAAGACAUCCAUGACAUAUUGCUCAAUAAAAAUUUAAAAGGAGAUUAUAAAACAGCAAGUAUAGAUGUGUAUAUAAAGUAUUGGGAAAAUGUUCACCACAAUGCUAACAGUUGGGCUCUGGGUAUUGGGAUUUGAGGUGAUUUUUUCUUAUUUUUUGUACUGCUCUAAUUUCCAGUGCUCAUUUAGCAUUAUAAAUAAAGCAGUAAAAUAGC